rnacentral:rRNA from 1 species
GGGUUGAAACUCAAAGGAUUUGACGGGGGCCCGCAGCGGUGGAGCAUGUGGUUUAAUUCGAAGCAACGCGAGAACCUUACCAGGUCUUGCAUCCUUUGACCACUCUAGAGAUAGAGCUUUCCCUUCGGGGACAAAGUGACAGGUGGUGCAUGGUUGUCGUCAGCUCGUGUCGUGAGAUGUUGGGUUAAGUCCCGCAACGAGCGCAACCCUUAUUGUUAGUUGCCAUCAUUAAGUUGGGCACUCUAGCGAGACUGCCGGUGACAAACCGGAGGAAGGUGGGGAUGACGUCAAAUCAUCAUGCCCCUUAUGACCUGGGCUACACACGUGCUACAAUGGACAGUACAAUGAGCAGCGACACGGCGACGUGAAGCGAAUCUCAUAAAGCUGUUCUCAGUUCGGAUUGUAGGCUGCAACUCGCCUACAUGAAGCCGGAAUCGCUAGUAAUCGCGGAUCAGCACGCCGCGGUGAAUACGUUCCCGGGCCUUGUACACACCGCCCGUCACACCACGAAAGUUUGUAACACCCGAAGUCGGUGAGGUAACCGCAAGGAGCCAACCGCCUAAGGUGGGAUAGAUGAUUGGGGUGAAGUCGUAACAAGGUAACCAAGGGCGAAUUCUG